GAGCGGCGUACGGGUGCGGAACACGUGUGCAACUGCCUUUAUCUGGGGGAUAGCCUUUCGAAAGGAAGAUUAAUACCCCAUAAUAUGUUGAAUGGCAUCAUUCGACAUUGAAAACUCCGGUGGAUAGAGAUGGGCACGCGCAAGAUUAGAUAGUUGGUGAGGUAACGGCUCACCAAGUCUACGAUCUUUAGGGGGGCCUGAGAGGGUGAUCCCCCACACUGGUACUGAGACACGGACCAGACUCCUACGGGAGGCAGCAGUGAGGAAUAUUGGACAAUGGGUGAGAGCCUGAUCCAGCCAUCCCGCGUGAGGGACGACUGCCCUAUGGGUUGUAAACUUCUUUUGUAUAGGGAUAAACCUACCCUCGUGAGGGUAGCUGAAGGUACUAUACGAAUAAGCACCGGCUAACUCCGUGCCAGCAGCCGCGGUAAUACGGAGGGUGCAAGGCGUUAUCCGGAUCUAUCGGGGUUUANAGGGUCCGAAGGCGGAUCCUGUAAGGUCACGUGGUGAAAUUCUUCCACAGUUUAACUUGUGAAACUUGGCCUUGGAAUACUUGGCGGGUCCUUCGCAGUUGUCUGGUCGCAAUAACCUCGGGAAAUA
rnacentral:rRNA from 1 species